rnacentral:rRNA from 1 species
UGGGGAAUAUUGGACAAUGGGCGCAAGCCUGAUCCAGCCAUGCCGCGUGAGUGAAGAAGGCCUUCGGGUUGUAAAGCUCUUUCGGCGGGGACGAAACGGUCCGUGACAACACCACGGACUAAUGACGGUACUCGCAGAAGAAGCACCGGCUAACUACGUGCCAGCAGCCGCGGUAAUACGUAGGGUGCAGGCGUUAAUCGGAAUUACUGGGCGUAAAGCGUGCGCAGGCGGCUCCUUAAGUCAGAUGUGAAAUCCCCGGGCUUAACCUGGGAACUGCGUUUGAAACUGAGGGGCUAGAGUGUGGAAGAGGGGGGUGGAAUUCCAGGUGUAGCAGUGAAAUGCGUAGAGAUCUGGAGGAACACCGAUGGCGAAGGCAGCCCCCUGGGCUAACACUGACGCUCAUGCACGAAAGCGUGGGGAGCAAACAGGAUUAGAUACCCAAGUAGUCCCUGAGCGGGCUGGCAAGGCG